UACGUAGGUGGCAAGCGUUGUCCGGAUUUACUGGGCGUAAAGGGAGCGUAGGCGGACUUUUAAGUGGGAUGUGAAAUACCCGGGCUUAACCUGGGUGCUGCAUUCCAAACUGGAAGUCUAGAGUACAGGAGGGGAAAGCGGAAUUCCUAGUGUAGCGGUGAAAUGCGUAGAGAUUAGGAAGAACACCAGUGGCGAAGGCGGCUUUCUGGACUGUAACUGACGCUGAGGCUCGAAAGCGUGGGGAGCAAACAGG
rnacentral:misc_RNA from 1 species